rnacentral:rRNA from 1 species
CCCUAUUAUUUUUGAUGUUAAUUUUUUGGCCUGAGUAGUAUUAGUUAUGUUCUUGAAACUUAAAGAAUUUGGCGGUAUCUCAAUCCAUUCAGAGGAAUCUGCCCCGUUAUCGAUAAUCCGCGUUGGACCUUGCUUGGUUUUAUUGUUUGUAUACCGCCGUUAUAAUGAGAAUUCUUUUAGGGUUGUUAAUUUUUAUUUUUCUUUAUUUUGAUUUAUUUCAGGUCAAGGUGCAGCUUAUAUCUUAGUGGGAGGUGGAUUACAUUUGCAUUUAUUUUUGGAUUUUUGCUGUAAUUGUUUAUAUGAAAGUGGAUUUGAUUGUAAUUUGUUGUAGAUUGUUUAAAUGGUUUUGGUUCUGGGAUAUGUACACAUCGCCCGUCGCUCUCGUUGUUUUGAGGCGAGAUAAGUC